rnacentral:rRNA from 1 species
AACGAACGCUGGCGAUGCGUCUUAAGCAUGCAAGUCGAACGGUAAGAAGAGAGCUUGCUCUUUUCCUAGAGUGGCGGACUGGUGAGUAACGCGUGGAUGAUCUACCUUUAAGAUGGGGAUAGCUUCUAGAAAUAGGAGAUAAUACCGAAUAACCUUAUCGUGUUAUGACGUGAUAAGAAAAUGGAGCGUUAGCUCCGCUUGAAGAUGAGUCUGCGUCCCAUUAGCUAGUUGGUAAGGUAAAGGCUUACCAAGGCGAUGAUGGGUAUCCGGCCUGAGAGGGUGAACGGACACAUUGGGACUGAGAUACGGCCCAAACUCCUACGGGAGGCAGCAGCUGAGAAUCUUCCGCAAUGGACGAAAGUCUGACGGAGCGACACCGCGUGAACGAUGAAGGCCGGAAGGUUGUAAAUUCUUUUGCAGACAAAGAAUAAGGAUAGAAGGAAAUGACUAUCUGAUGACGGUAGUUAUGCGAAUAAGCCCCGGCUAAUU